AACACAUGCAGUCGAGCGGGGAAGGGUAGCUUGCUACCUGACCUAGCGGCGGACGGGUGAGUAAUGCUUAGGAAUCUGCCUAUUAGUGGGGGACAACAUUCCGAAAGGAAUGCUAAUACCGCAUACGCCCUACGGGGGAAAGCAGGGGAUCUUCGGACCUUGCGCUAAUAGAUGAGCCUAAGUCAGAUUAGCUAGUUGGUGGGGUAAAGGCCUACCAAGGCGACGAUCUGUAGCGGGUCUGAGAGGAUGAUCCGCCACACUGGGACUGAGACACGGCCCAGACUCCUACGGGAGGCAGCAGUGGGGAAUAUUGGACAAUGGGCGAAAGCCUGAUCCAGCCAUGCCGCGUGUGUGAAGAAGGCCUUUUGGUUGUAAAGCACUUUAAGCGAGGAGGAGGCUACCGAGAUUAAUACUCUUGGAUAGUGGACGUUACUCGCAGAAUAAGCACCGGCUAACUCUGUGCCAGCAGCCGCGGUAAUACAGAGGGUGCGAGCGUUAAUCGGAUUUACUGGGCGUAAAGCGUGCGUAGGCGGCUUUUUAAGUCGGAUGUGAAAUCCCUGAGCUUAACUUAGGAAUUGCAUUCGAUACUGGGAAGCUAGAGUAUGGGAGAGGAUGGUAGAAUUCCAGGUGUAGCGGUGAAAUGCGUAGAGAUCUGGAGGAAUACCGAUGGCGAAGGCAGCCAUCUGGCCUAAUACUGACGCUGAGGUACGAAAGCAUGGGGAGCAAACAGGAUUAGAUACCCUGGUAGUCCAUGCCGUAAACGAUGUCUACUAGCCGUUGGGGCCUUUGAGGCUUUAGUGGCGCAGCUAACGCGAUAAGUAGACCGCCUGGGGAGUACGGUCGCAAGACUAAAACUCAAAUGAAUUGACGGGGGCCCGCACAAGCGGUGGAGCAUGUGGUUUAAUUCGAUGCAACGCGAAGAACCUUACCUGGUCUUGACAUAGUAAGAACUUUCCAGAGAUGGAUUGGUGCCUUCGGGAACUUACAUACAGGUGCUGCAUGGCUGUCGUCAGCUCGUGUCGUGA
rnacentral:rRNA from 1 species